AUAAAUUACCAGGAGUCUUAGGAAGAGAAAUAGAAUAAAGAUGGUAUAAAAGAGAAGGAGUAAUACAAAACUCAAAUACAAAAUGGUCUAUAGGACACAAAGUACAGCAUAUUAUGGAAAUAUUACAGGAAAAAUGUACAAACUUACAAAUACAGAAACAGUUAAAACAGAACAAUAUGAGUUUCUGUCAAUCAACAGUAUAUACAACCCAAAGUUAUGACAAAAAUGAAUACAAAAGAAAGAAAUACAAAAGAUAUAAACCUCAAUACAAUAAGGAAUACAAUAGAAAAAACUAUUAUCUUAGAAAGUCUUCAGCUAAAAAGCCCUAUUUAAAUAGAAAUAGGCAUGUU
rnacentral:lncRNA from 1 species